UACGGAAGGUCCGGGCGUUAUCCGGAUUUAUUGGGUUUAAAGGGAGCGCAGGCCGGGUGCUAAGCGUGCUGUGAAAUGCCGCGGCUCAACCGUGGCAGUGCAGCGCGAACUGGCUCUCUUGAGUGUGCGGUAGGAAGGCGGAAUUCGUGGUGUAGCGGUGAAAUGCUUAGAUAUCACGAGGAACCCCGAUUGCGAAGGCAGCUUUCCGCAGCAUUACUGACGCUGAGGCUCGAAGGUGCGGGUAUCGAAC
rnacentral:rRNA from 1 species